GACGAACGCUGGCGGCGUGCUUAACACAUGCAAGUCGAACGCUGAAGCUCAGCUUUUGUUGGGUGGAUGAGUGGCGAACGGGUGAGUAACACGUGAGUAACCUGCCUCCUUCUUUGGGAUAACGCCCGGAAACGGGUGCUAAUACUGGAUAUUCACUGGUCUUCGCAUGGGGGUUGGUGGAAAGGGUUUUUCUGGUGGGGGAUGGGCUCGCGGCCUAUCAGCUUGUUGGUGGGGUGAUGGCCUACCAAGGCUUUGACGGGUAGCCGGCCUGAGAGGGUGACCGGUCACAUUGGGACUGAGAUACGGCCCAGGCUCCUACGGGAGGCAGCAGUGGGGAAUAUUGCACAAUGGGCGCAAGCCUGAUGCAGCGACGCCGCGUGAGGGAUGGAGGCCUUCGGGUUGUGAACCUCUUUCGCUCAUGGUCAAGCCGCAACAAUGGUUGUGGUGAGGGUAGUGGGUAAAGAAGCGCCGGCUAUCUACGUG
rnacentral:rRNA from 1 species